rnacentral:rRNA from 1 species
AUUGAACGCUGGCGGCAUGCUUUACACAUGCAAGUCGAACGGUAACAGGGAGCUUGCUCCGCUGACGAGUGGCGAACGGGUGAGUAAUGCAUCGGAACGUGCCGUGUAAUGAGGGAUAACGUAGCGAAAGUUACGCUAAUACCGCAUACGCCCUGAGGGGGAAAGCGGGGGAUCGUAAGACCUCGCGUUAUACGAGCGGCCGAUGUCGGAUUAGCUAGUUGGUGGGGUAAAGGCCUACCAAGGCGACGAUCCGUAGCGGGUCUGAGAGGAUGAUCCGCCACACUGGGACUGAGACACGGCCCAGACUCCUACGGGAGGCAGCAGUGGGGAAUUUUGGACAAUGGGGGGCAACCCUGAUCCAGCCAUGCCGCGUGAGUGAAGAAGGCCUUCGGGUUGGUAAAGCGUCUUUCUAGACGGAAAGAAAUACGCAC